UACAGAGGUCCCAAGCGUUGUUCGGAUUCACUGGGCGUAAAGGGUGCGUAGGUGGUCGGGUAAGUCUGAUGUGAAAUCUUCAAGCUCAACUUGGAAACUGCAUCGGAUACUAUUCGGCUUGAGGAAUGGAGGGGAGACUGGAAUUCUCGGUGUAGCAGUGAAAUGCGUAGAUAUCGAGAGGAACACCAGUGGCGAAGGCGAGUCUCUGGACAUUUCCUGACGCUGAGGCACGAAAGCCAGGGGAGCAAACGGG
rnacentral:rRNA from 1 species